AUGAAACCACUAAAGAAAAUGCAUCUUCAAUUCUUAUUCCUAUUCAAUGUCAUACUAGGUUCUUCUACCCCUCAUCAUAAUCACACCAAUAUCAAAACUCAACCACCUUUCUCUACUUCAAAUAUUUCAAUCCCUUCUCUCUUAAGGAUAACUGUUAACAUUCCCAAUCAUGUACCACAGAUUUGCAAAGGGUGUCAAGAGCCUAAUGGUAGCUGUAAUGCUGGCUUGAACUGUUUGUGUCAUCCAAAAGAAUGCAAAGACAAGGUGAUCUCCAAGGUUGGGUCCAUCAAAUCUACUGGUUCUGUGUUUUUCUCUUUGAUUUCUUUCAUUGCUACCAUAGCCUUUCUCAUGUAA